GUGGCUGGAGUCGCCCUCCUUCGCCCUCUGUAAAAGGAUCGAGGCUCUUCUGUGAAUGGGAGGAGGUGCGCGCUUCCUUUCUCGGGGACAAACCAGUCGGAAAGACGAGUCGCGCAGUCACCUGGGGCUGUCGCGCGCCUUUCCCGGGCUUUCUUGCUGGCUUGCGGUGCUGCUUUAGGAGUUGUUAGCUCCUGACAGCACAGCCCUGGACCCUGGUCCGGCCUCCAGAAAGCAUUGCUUGAUGAUGAAACCAUUUAAGAGGCGUCAAGAUUUACCAAGUUCAUCCCUCUGUAAUUUCUAAUGCCAGGCACUGACAGUCUUCUAACUCCACUGUGAGAUUCGCAGUCAGCACUUUAAUCCAGGCUCUGCCCUGAUAGAAACCAGUCAGCCCCUACAACAACAACAUAUUAAAAGCUAAAACUUGAAAUUUCAUUCUGGGUUGGAUGUACUUGCCAUGUGUGGUCUCACUGAAUCCUCACUCAUCAACUCCAUAAGAAAGAUACUAUUAUUCCUGCUUUAAGAACUCUGGUUUCUUCAAACAGAUCUUCAUGACUACCAAGCAUCAUUACAACAGGAAUAUUUAAAAAGAAGCUACACAUAGGGGAAUUUGCCUGGCUAUGAGUUUAUGAGGUUCACUUAUGCUCCUCAGAGAAUUGACAUAUUAUGAUAACCAUAAAAAUAUUAUGAAUAAACAUUUGGAGGAAAAGGGAGCGUCUAGUAAACUCUUCCAAUUUCCUUCUCCCUCUUUUUUCUCUUGUAGAACUUUGGUCAAUUCAGGAGAGUUUUAAAUCCAUUUUUAAAGUAUACAAAUAAAGCUAA